rnacentral:rRNA from 1 species
GAUGAACGCUGGCGGCGUGCCUAAUACAUGCAAGUCGAGCGAACGGACGAGAAGCUUGCUUCUCUGAUGUUAGCGGCGGACGGGUGAGUAACACGUGGAUAACCUACCUAUAAGACUGGGAUAACUUAGGGAAACCGGAGCUAAUCCCGGAUAAUAUUUUGAACCGCAUGGUUCAAAAGUGAAAGACGGUCUUGCUGCCACUUAUAGAUGGAUCCGCGCUGCAUUAGCUAGUUGGUAAGGUAACGGCUUACCAAGGCAACGAUGCAUAGCCGACCUGAGAGGCUGAGCGGCCACACUGGAACUGAGACACGGUCCAGACUCCUACGGGAGGCAGCAGGAGGGAAUCGUCCGCAAUGGGCGAAAGCCUGACGGAGCAACGCCGCGUGAGUGAUGGAGGUCUUCGGAUCGUAAAACUCUGUUAUUAGGGAAGAACAUAUGUGUAAGUAACUGUGCACAGCUUGACGGUACCUAGUCAGAAAGCCACGGCUAACUACGUG